UGGGGCUCCCUGAGAGCCAAACUGUAGUGACUGUUUUUGCUCUUCUGGGUCUGGCCACCCAGUGGAGCUACUUGGCUCCGGGUUGGGGUACUGGGGAGUAUCUGCAAAGAGUCCUGUGAUGUGACCCGCCUUCAGGUCUUGCAUCUAUGGAUACCAACACCUGCUUCAGUGGAGGUGGCAGGGGAGUGAAGUGGACUCUGUGUGGGUCCUUGAUUGUGUUUUUGUUUAGUGCCCUGGUUUUGUGUUGGCCUCCAGCCAGGAGGUGGUGCUUUUUCAAGAGCGUGUCAGCUGCAGUCCUAUAGAGAGGAUGCAAACUUGCCCUAGGGACACCUGGUUAAGUAUUCAGGUUUCCCAGGCAGUGAGCAGGGCCGUAGAGCUCCCAAGAGUUUAUGACCUUUGUCUUUGGCUAUCAGGGUGGGUAGAAAAAGGCCACCAGCUUGGGGCAGGGAUAGGCAUGUCUGAGCUCAGCCUCUCCUUGGGCAGGGCUUGCUGCAGCUGCUGUGGGGGAUGGAGGUGUGCUUCCCAGUCCAAUGGAGUUAUAUUCCCAGGGAAUAUUUGCCUCUGCUGAGUCAUACAAGUUGCCAGGGAAGUAGGGAAAAGAGGGCAGUCACAGGUUUCACCCUGCUCUGAUGCAGCCUGCCAUCCUAAAGGCUGGUCUCACUCCCACCAUGCCCCUACAACAGCACUGACUCUAUUUCCAGGCAUCCGAUGACCAGGGCUGAGAACUUGCUCCAGACCAUGAGUCUCCCCUUUGAGAAAGCAAGUAGACUCACAGUUUUUCAGCAUCUCAGGGAGCCUGCAGUGGUGAUCCAGUUCCUUCAAAGGGUCUGUGGAUUCUCUCGGCUUUCCUGGGUCAAAUCAGAAACCUGAUCGAUGAAUGGCUCUGAGUGACAAUGCUAAAUAUCAGGGGGCCAGGCACGAUGGCUCACACCUGUAAUCCUGGCACUUUGUGAAGCCAAGCUUGGACCUUUUUCCAGGUUGGCACUAGAUAUUCAUCAGACUUGGGAAAACUUAGGAUUUUUUAAAAGAAGGUACACAAAGAGAAAGAAUAAGGCCAUUUCCAGCUUCUGGCAUACAAAAUAGAUUAGAAGGCAACAUAGUAAACAGGGUAGGGUCUAGAGAGAGCAUUUCCCAAGUAACUUGAUCCUCUCUCUUCCAUCUCUCAAGGGCCUAACCUAGAGGAAUCUGCUUAUCACAAGACUUGCCACUUGUAAGCAAAAGGAGGGUAGGAUGUAGGGAAAGUAAGGGAAGACUUCUUUUUUUCCAGCUCUAGAUGAGGGUGAGAAGGGAACUGAGGGAGAGAGAGGGAGUCCAUCCUGGGGUUCCAGGCACAGGCCCUGUGACGGAGGAGGUGUGUUUCAUAAGGGAGGGUAAUGUGGAAGGCAGAGGAGGUGACUCUUAGGACUCUGGGAAGAAGUCCCCUCUCAACACAUCCUAACCCCAGUUUGAACACAGCUGCACCAUCUCGAAGGUGAGCACAGUCAGGCCAAGGGAAGCCUGAGGUUGUUUCUUGAUUUCCUCAAGUUCUAUGUGGGGUGGGUGAUGGAUGGAGGCCCAGAGGGCCUGCUUUGGGAGUUUCUCAAGGUGAAGCCCAAUGACUUGGCUACAAAGCUGGGUGAGCACCUGGGCCUGCAGACUGGAUGGGGAGCUUGAAAGAGAUCUGGGGUCUGAGGCUUGAGAAGCCCAUGCAAACCUGAAUCAAUCAGGAAGGAGUUCCCACUCUGGGCAAGCUGAGAAAGAGACCAAUGGCCACAGAAGUUAGCUGAGGGACAAAGGACACUGCCUCAGGCACCAGAGACUACUCAAAAGACCAUCAAAGACCUGGCUCUUCCCUCCGCCAAACACACAGUUCUCAGCUCACAUGCCUGGCUAACAUCUAGGGAAGAGAAGUGGGUAAAGAGAGUAUAUUAGUAAGGGUUCUCCAGACAAAUAGAACCAGUAAAAGCACUAUAUAAAGAGAGUCAUUAUAAAGAAUUGGCUUACAUGGUUAUGGAGGCUAAGAAGUCUUAAGAUGUGUAGUUGGCAAGCUGGAGACCCAGGAGAGCUGAUAGUUGAGUUUCAGUCUGAAGCUAAAAGCCUGAGAAGCUGAUGGUGGAAAUUCGAGGCCAAGUGUGACUCUGAAGGCAUGAGAAGACCAAUGUCCAGCUCCAAGACAGACAGAAAGACAGUGAAUUCUCCCUUACUCAGCCUUUUUGUUCCAUUCAAGCCUUCCACAGAUUGGAUGAAGCUCACCCAAAUUGGGGAGGGCAAUUUGCUUUGCUCAAUCUCCCAAUGUAAAUGCGAAUCUCAUCCAGAAACACCCUCACAGACUCGCCCAUCAUAAUGAUUAAUGAAACAUCUGGGCACCCUGUAGCCCAGUCAAGUUGACACAAAAUUAACCAGCAUAAGAAGCCAUGUAGAAACUGGGAAGUUUUCCUAAAAGAGACAGAGUAUUAGUGAAAGGACCAUUUACAUGCUCAGAUUGGGUUGAGCUUAAUCAAAAUUAGAAAUUUCGUUUUCUGUGUGUUUGCUUUUUGCUUUCUACUAACUGCUGAAUGGGAGAUUAUGAGAGGGAAUGGAGAGACAUCAAGAAAAAAACCUUACAUUUUCUCUGCUUAUUCAGCCAUGGAUAAAUAUAUGGAAACACAUUAUAUCUGUUCUGUAAUCUGCUUUUUUGACCAUGCAAAUAUACAUCAUAGACAGCUUUCUGGAUUAAUAAAUAUCGAUCUCCAUGAAAAUUAUCUUAAAUAUGUCCUUGGUAUUCCAUUGUCUAUAAAUGUCAAAAUGUAGACACUCAGACCCCUAUUGAUAGACAUUUGUUAUUUUUAAUUAAAUAGACACAAUUCACUCCAGAAAGCUUUCAGAGACUUUCAGUUAUAACUACAGCUUGGUUUUCUUUGUUUCAUAUAUGGAGAAAAAUAAAUUGUAUUUAUUCUUUGAAUAUGGGAGUGUGGGGGAAUAAAAAGAACAGAGAAUACGAAUUUGACAGGGAGCUUGUAAAUGGCUGUGGGAUGUUCAGAGAUGCGGUCCAUGCACGCCCUGUACAUGCCUGGCUACUUGUCCUUGCCCAACCAUGACCACACCGGCAAGAUAACGGAGCAGGGUGGUGAUUAUUCAUGCCUCUCAGAAAACUGUAUUCACCUGCUCUGCACAGGGUCUCCACUGGGUGCUUGCCAUUGCAGACUUCCAUAUGCUCUCCAGGGGCCAACAGACAGGAAGAGGAUAAAGCUGGGCGGAUGGCAUGCUUCCGCCUUCCUGCCGAGAUAAUGAACUGAGGGAGGCAGAGAAACUGGGGCCACCUGAAGUACGACCAGCAGCCCUAUCUAAACCGUCCAGAGCGCAGGCUGCCAUGGGCGAGCUGUUUAUCGAGAGCCACAUGUUCCCGAUUGCAGGCUACUGCAUGGCUACAAUUAGACUUUUUGACUGAUGGCCAGUUUAAUGAGCCUAUUUACAGAGGGUCAUUCAACAUAGCAAUUACACCUAUAAAUCUAUUUGCAGUAGGACUCGAAUAACCUUCUGCACACAGCCUUGUAUAAAACUGCUGUCUGAUUAAUUAACAUUAAUUUCCCCGCCGUAUGGAACCAGCUGCAGUUGGUGUAAAUGCUUCCAGCUCCUCUCGGCAGGCCCCCUGCGAAUGGCAGGGGUUCUCAUGGUGGGGGGAAUGUUUCAGGGGCUGGGAGGGAGGGAAGGGCCGGUAGUUGUGUUGUUGCUGUUCCAAAGAAACGCUUAGUUUUUCUUCCAUCCCUCUGUUCUUUCUCUGGCCCUGUUUGAUUGAUGUUUCAGGGCAGUGUCAUAUAUAGGGGGCAAAAUUCAAUUAAUUAGAUAUGAAAUAUUUAUAACCCUGCUGUAUGUGUCUAUCAGAAAAGAGCCCUUAAUAGAUCUUCUCAUUAGCAUGAGCUGGUGACUCAUUUCUCCGCUUUCACAGUCAUUCGGAAUUAAAAUCCAAUUAAUCUAAUAUCCCUGUGAAUGUUAUUAAAUUAUUGGAAAAACUGCAUUCGGGAGAUAGGGUGAGGGGAAGGAGCCGGCCUGGUGGGUUCUCAUUUCCUCUCUGCAAAGCACACAAUGCCAGGGGGACCGGCCCCUCUUCCUUUGGGCGCUCAGCUUCCCGCUUUUGGGUUGUGUCUACACUUGGCAAAUAAAGCACCGGAUUGUGAAUCAGGGACUCUCAGCUGCCAAUGCUAACACUGCCAAAGCUAAUAACACAACAACAACAACAACAACAGAAGCAGCAGCAGCAUCAACAAAACCCAGAACACCGGUUUCUGAAACCAGCAAAGUAUUUGCAAAAUGCAAGAUUGUAAUUAAGUGAAAAGCAAAAUGCAAGAUUGUAAUUAAGUGAAAAGGUAAGAUUUGCACUGUUUUAAGCAGCUCUAAAAGAAAUGAGUCUCUUUAAGGUGGAAGCAGCUUUAAGAAGGAAGACUGAAUUGGAAGCUCCCAGGCUCCAUGCAGUUCUAGAAUGCUGUGAUUUUAUGAAUUCUAAGUCUGAGGACCCUGUGAAAAAGUCAGGAAGAACAGUCUAUGAUUUUACAGAAGUGAUGAGUUGAACAAAAAGCUAAAGGCUCCUUGUAUUUGGAAAAACAGGGACCAUUGCUAUCAUUAUUAACAAAUGUUUGCAUCACAGGGCAUUUCCUUUGUCCAGUGGUACAUGGAGACACUUGAAAUUUUUUGCAUUUUUUUUUGGAAAGGAAGAGAGAAAAAAUUAUAGCAAUUAUGGUAAGCAGUGUCCUGAAGUUCUGCCGAUCAACUGAUAUUAUGACGUUGUGGCCCAUAAUUUGGAGGUUGCCAACUCGAGACUUUAGUUAUGACCAUGACGUAAGGAUUCUAGAAACUCCUGAGAGGGCUCUUAAAUCCCUCUCUCCUUGCAGAAUCCAACACUGAAGUUGGACCAACAUUGAUUGAGUUCCUACUGUAUGUCCGGGACUGUGCCAGGAGCAAGGGGUCACAGCGCUAUGGAUUACAUAAACAUUUAUAAACGGAAAUGCUCCCCAAAGAAUAUGAUGAUGAAAAAGACUUGGCUCCUGGCUUUGAGAGGCUUCUAAGUGUGUAAACUGAUAAUUUAAAAUAUGAUGGGCUGUCUCACUGCAAAGCAAUGAUAAAAGCAUGAGGUGCUGGAUAUGCUAACUACCCUGAUUUAAUCAUUAUACAACGCAUGUAUGUAUUGAAACAUCAAACUUUACCCAUAAAAUGUAUAAUUACAAUGUGUCAAUUUAAAACAAUUUAAGAAAUAGAACGGUUUGAAAUGCUUUGCUACUGGAGCAUAGCAGGGUGAUGGAGGGGCGUCAGGGAGAUCUUCCUGGGACACCUACACUGACUCUGGGGUGUAACGGGGCUGUGUUCCUGGGCGGGCUUAGACUGUUUCUCUAAUUAUGACAGCUUUCUCCUUCUUGCUGUAGUUUUGUCUUUUCAAGAAUGUCAUAUGAAUAUUUGAUAUGAUUUGGAUGUUGUCCCCUAAAAACCUCAUGUUGAAGUGCAAUCCGCAGUGUUAAAAGUGGAGACUGGUGGGCAGUGUUUGGGUCACAGGGGCGGAUCCCUCAUGGCUUGGUGAUGUUUUUUCGAUAGUGAGUUCUCCCGAGAUCUGGUUGAAGAAAAAUGUGUGGCACCUCCCUUCUCCCUCUCUCUCUUCCUUCCACUCUUGCCAUGUAAGACACCAGCCCCCCUUUCAUCUUCUGCCAUGAUUGUAAGCUUCCUGAGGCCUCCCCAGAAGCUGAGCAGGUGCUGCCACCAUGCUUCCAAUAGCAUUGCAGAACCAUGAACCAAUAAAACCUCUUUUCUUUAUAAAUUA